UUCCGGUUGAUCCUGCCGGACCCGACUGCUAUCAGAGUGGGACUAAGCCAUGCGAGUCGACGUAGCAAUGCGUGGCGAACGGCUCAGUAACACGUAGUCAACAUGCCCAGGGGACGUGGAUAACCUCGGGAAACUGAGAAUAAACCACGAUAGGUCACGAUUUCUGGAAUGGAUCAUGGCCUAAAUCUACAUGGCCCCUGGAUUGGACUGCGGCCGAUCAGGCAGGGGUGAGGUAAUGGCCCACCAAACCUAUAACCGGUACGGGCUCUGAGAGGAGAAGCCCGGAGAUGGGCACUGAGACAAGGGCCCAGGCCCUAUGGGGCGCAGCAGGCGCGAAACCUCUGCAAUAGGCGAAAGCCUGACAGGGUUACUCUGAGUGAUUUCCGCUAAGGGGAUCUUUUGGCACCUCUAAAAAUGGUGCAGAAUAAGGGGUGGGCAAGUCUGGUCUCAGCCGCCGCGGUAAUACCAGCACCCCGAGUGGUCGGGACGAUUAUUGGGCCUAAAGCAUCCGUAGCCGGUUCUGCAAGUCUUCCGUUAAAUCCAGCCGCUCAACGGAUGGGCCGCGGAGGAUACUACAGGACUAGGAGGCGGGAGAGGCAAGCGGUACUCAGUGGGUAGGGGUAAAAUCCUUUGAUCCAUUGAAGACCACCAGUGGCGAAGGCGGCUUGCCAGAACGCGCUCGACGGUGAGGGAUGAAAGCUGGGGGAGCAAACCGGAUUAGAUACCCGGGUAGUCCCAG
rnacentral:rRNA from 1 species